AUGGGGAAACAGACACACAUGGGGACACUGGGAGACAUGGGGACACAGACACUAGGGACACAAUGUCCCCAAGUGUCUCAGUGUCCCUAUGUCUCCCAGCCAGUGUCCCUGGUGUCUCAGUGUCCCCAUGUCUCCCAAUGUCCCUAGUGUCUGUUUUCCCAUG
rnacentral:miRNA from 1 species